rnacentral:rRNA from 1 species
UACAGGGGGGGCAAGCGUUGUUCGGAAUUACUGGGCGUAAAGGGUUUGUAGGUGGCUUGCUAAGUCAGACGUGAAAUCCCUCAGCUUAACUGGGGAACUGCGUCUGAUACUGGCGAGCUUGAGUGCAGGAGAGGAACGCGGAAUUCCAGGUGUAGCGGUGAAAUGCGUAGAUAUCGGGAGGAACACCUGUGGCGAAAGCGGCUCACUGGACCAUAACUGACGCUGAUGCGCGAAAGCUAGGGGAGCAAACAGG